GAUGAACGCUAGCGGGAGGCUUAAUACAUGCAAGUCGAGGGGCAGCAGCGGACUUCGGUCUGGCUGGCGACCGGCGAACGGGUGAGUAACGCGUACACAAUUUACCUUUAACAUUGGGAUAGCCCUGGGAAACUGGGAUUAAUAUCGAAUGUGAUUAUAAAGCUGCAUAGUUUAAUAAUUAAAGUUUAGGCGGUUAAAGAUAAGUGUGCGUCCCAUUAGCUAGUUGGUGAGGUAACGGCUCACCAAGGCGACGAUGGGUAGGGGGCGUGAGAGCGUGGUCCCCCACACGGGUACUGAGACACGGACCCGACUCCUACGGGAGGCAGCAGUAAGGAAUAUUGGACAAUGGGCGCAAGCCUGAUCCAGCUAUCCCGCGUGUAGGAUGACUGCCCUAUGGGUUGUAAACUACUUUUAUUAGGGAAGAAACGCCGUAAUUUAUUAUGGUCUGACGGUACCUAAAGAAUAAGCACCGGCUAACUCCG
rnacentral:rRNA from 1 species